AGUGGACGCUGGCGGUAGGCCUAACACAUGCAAGUCGAACGGCAGCACAGUAAGAGCUUGCUCUUACGGGUGGCGAGUGGCGGACGGGUGAGGAAUACAUCGGAAUCUACCUUUUCGUGGGGGAUAACGUAGGGAAACUUACGCUAAUACCGCAUACGACCUACGGGUGAAAGCAGGGGAUCUUCGGACCUUGCGCGAUUGAAUGAGCCGAUGUCGGAUUAGCUAGUUGGCGGGGUAAAGGCCCACCAAGGCGACGAUCCGUAGCUGGUCUGAGAGGAUGAUCAGCCACACUGGAACUGAGACACGGUCCAGACUCCUACGGGAGGCAGCAGUGGGGAAUAUUGGACAAUGGGCGCAAGCCUGAUCCAGCCAUACCGCGUGGGUGAAGAAGGCCUUCGGGUUGUAAAGCCCUUUUGUUGGGAAAGAAAAGCAGCAGGUUAAUACCCCGCUGUUCUGACGGUACCCAAAGAAUAAGCACCGGCUAACUUCGUG
rnacentral:rRNA from 1 species